ensembl:lncRNA
CAGAAAAUCACAAUCUUUUCCUUCUUUUUUAGGUGAUUUUUGCCCUCGGCUCUUAGGGACUGGUGAGCAUCAUCAACAUGCGCAUCAUUAUUUCUCCACUUUUUUCAACAUCUGUGUAAAUUCUGAGUUUGAUGUUUAAUUUGAUAACUGGUUUAGUUUAGGCGGGAACUGCCGGACAUGUUUAGUGGUCUAUUCCUUUAAAUAUGUGAUAUUUUUUCCAGUGACCACUUUACACUUGCAUAUCAUAACCACAUGCACAAUACUGGUGAAAUCUUACACACGUCACCCUUAUCUAACUUUUUUAUAAAAUCAGCUUGUUGAUAAAUUCUCGUUCAGUAAUCUCACAAAAAUGUUCUAUCCAUGUGCAUAUCUGAAUGGGAAGAAGCACAUGAAUCAUCUGAACAGACAGCAGAUUUUACAACCGGUUGGAUCUGACAGAAAAUCACAGACAUACUUGCUUCCCAUUCUUUUGAGUUCAGUCAGUCCCUCUGAACCUAAACUCAGCUCAAGUCACUGUGGAGAUGGGCCGGAGCUCAGAACUUUUCUCCCCCAGCUGGAGAAACCAGGCCAAACCGAACCACCUGGGCAUUACAGCCGUGGAUCUCGACCUGGAGAGGAAAAAACAGAGCUGAUGGUAACAAGCUACAUUUUCAAUAACAAAAUCAAUAGUCACUUUAAACAUUAAACAAGAACUUUUAACUGCUUUGCAGAUGGGAACCGCUCCCUGUCCCGUUCCCUGUCUGGGGCUGUUCUCCAUGAUGCCAGAGGCAGAGAAAGAACUGGAAAGGGAUCUUAGUUUUCAUCUUCACAGCACCGUUCUGUAGAGCGGCUCUCCACAUCCUCUCUUGAACCUUUUUUAGUACCUUUAGCAGGUGUGGAGUGUCCUAACUGUUCCCGGGAACGAAAUAUCCGAGAGGAAUAUAACAAAAUUAUCAUUCAGGCUAGGAGAGACAAAGAUUCUCUGAGUCAAAAAGUAGCAGAACUAGAGAAUGAGUUAAGGACAAGAGCAACACAGAAGAGAGAAGAGGGGUCAAGCUGGGAAAAGAAAAGAGGAAAUGAAGAAUCUACAAGCAGUACAUCUGUAGAGACAGGAAUAUUAAAGACUGCAGAGAUACCAAAGCAUGUGCUGGAUAAUGUCACAGUAUGUCACUUUGUUUCUUAGAGGAAUCUUUUCCAGAUCAUAUAACUCUGAAGACACUACCGAUUGGAGAUGAUGGUUACCUAAAUUUCAGUUGCCAAUAACAGUGAACUGAAAUGCAAUGAUUCUCAAUACAAAUUAGCAAAAAAUAUGUUAAUGAACACACUUUAUACAAUAUUCAAAACGUUAAAUGUAUUAAC